UACGGAGGAUGCGAGCGUUAUCCGGAUUUAUUGGGUUUAAAGGGUGCGUAGGCGGGUUGUUAAGUCAGCGGUAAAAUUGCGGUGCUCAACGCCGUAGAGCCGUUGAAACUGGCGGCCUUGAGUGGGCGAGAAGUAUGCGGAAUGCGUGGUGUAGCGGUGAAAUGCAUAGAUAUCACGCAGAACCCCGAUUGCGAAGGCAGCAUACCGGCGCCCUACUGACGCUGAGGCACGAAAGUGUGGGUAUCGAACAGG
rnacentral:rRNA from 1 species